AGGUUUCAGACGUGUCGCUGCUGGAUGUGAGGAUGGGACCCACUUUGCUCUGUGAGCUGGGCCUAUUCUUGCUCUGUACGCUCCUCUGCACUGGACACGCUCAAGAUGCUGUGUUAACUAUUGAACCCAACUGGUCCAGUUUUUUCAUUGGAGAGUUUGUUACCUUCAUGUGUGACAUGAAUGAAGGAGCAGACACUGACUGGUAUUACACACUCAACAAGGAUGGUCGAGAAUAUGUC